rnacentral:rRNA from 1 species
GCGGCGUGCUUAACACAUGCAAGUCGAACGGAAAGGCCCUGCUUUUGUGGGGUGCUCGAGUGGCGAACGGGUGAGUAACACGUGAGUAACCUGCCCUUGACUUUGGGAUAACUUCAGGAAACUGGGGCUAAUACCGGAUAGGAGCUCCUGCUGCAUGGUGGGGGUUGGAAAGUUUCGGCGGUUGGGGAUGGACUCGCGGCUUAUCAGCUUGUUGGUGGGGUAGUGGCUUACCAAGGCUUUGACGGGUAGCCGGCCUGAGAGGGUGACCGGCCACAUUGGGACUGAGAUACGGCCCAGACUCCUACGGGAGGCAGCAGUGGGGAAUAUUGCACAAUGGGCGGAAGCCUGAUGCAGCAACGCCGCGUGCGGGAUGACGGCCUUCGGGUUGUAAACCGCUUUCGCCUGUGACGAAGCGUGAGUGACGAUAAUGGGUAAAGAAGCACCGGCUAACUACGUGCCAGCAGCCGCGGUGAUACGUAGGGUGCGAGCGUUGUCCGGAUUUAUUGGGCGUAAAGGGCUCGUAGGUGGUUGAUCGCGUCGGAAGUGUAAUCUUGGGGCUUAACCCUGAGCGUGCUUUCGAUACGGGUUGACUUGAGGAAGGUAGGGGAGAAUGGAAUUCCUGGUGGAGCGGUGGAAUGCGCAGAUAUCAGGAGGAACACCAGUGGCGAAGGCGGUUCUCUGGGCCUUUCCUGGCGCUGAGGAGCGAAAGCGUGGGGAGCGAACAGGCUUAGAUACCCUGGUAGUCCACGCUGUAAACGGUGGGUACUAGGUGUGGGGUCCAUUCCACGGGUUCCGUGCCGUAGCUAACGCUUUAAGUACCCCGCCUGGGGGAGUACGGCCGCAAGGCUAAAACUCAAAGGAAUUGACGGGGCCCCGCACAAGCGGCGGAGCAUGCGGAUUAAUUCGAUGCAACGCGUAGAACCUUACCUGGGUUUGACAUGGAUCGGGAGUGCUCAGAGAUGGGUGUGCCUCUUUUGGGGUCGGUUCACAGGUGGUGCAUGGCUGUCGUCAGCUCGUGUCGUGAGAUGUUGGGUUAAGUCCCGCAACGAGCGCAACCCUUGUUCACUGUUGCCAGCACGUUAUGGUGGGGACUCAGUGGAGACCGCCGGGGUCAACUCGGAGGAAGGUGGGGAUGACGUCAAGUCAUCAUGCCCCUUAUGUCCAGGGCUUCACGCAUGCUACAAUGGCUGGUACAGAGAGUGGCGAGCCUGUGAGGGUGAGCGAAUCUCGGAAAGCCGGUCUCAGUUCGGAUUGGGGUCUGCAACUCGACCUCAUGAAGUCGGAGUCGCUAGUAAUCGCAGAUCAGCAACGCUGCGGUGAAUACGUUCCCGGGGCUUGUACACACCGCCCGUCAAGUCAUGAAAGUUGGUAACACCCGAAGCCGGUGGCCUAACCGAGGUGGGGGAGCCGUCGAAGGUGGGACUGGUG